rnacentral:misc_RNA from 1 species
CACCUGAUAUAGGUAAUGCAAAGUCUAUGGGGUUAUUAAUUCUAGCUAACAAUCAAUUUUCUGGUGAGUUGCCUGCUGCAAUUUCACAUGCUUCUUCCCUGGUGUCAGUCCAGUUGAGCUCAAAUCAAUUUCUUGGCAGAAUCCCAGAAAGUAUUGGUGAAUUGAAGAAACUAAACAGUCUUUAUUUGAAUGGAAACUUGUUUUCUGGUACUAUACCAGAUUCAUUAGGCUCGUGUGUAUCUCUCACUGAUAUAAACCUCUCUGGCAAUUCAUUUUCCGGGGAAAUACCUGAGAGUCUUGGAUCUCUUUUUACUUUGAACUCCUUGAAUUUAUCCAACAACAAACUUUCUGGUCAAAUUCCAGUUAGUUUAUCAUCUCUAAGGCUAAGCAAUCUUGAUCUGUCAGAUAACCAGCUGGUUGGUCCCAUACCUCAAUCUUUAUCCCUUUCAUGAAGGCUUUGAUGGAAACCCAGGUUUAUGUAGCAACAAUCUGAGGAAUAUCCAACCUUGUUCAGCCACUUCUCGCACUUCUGGUCACCGCCGC